UCCUUCAGGGGCCCAUAUUCCCUUCAACGUGGGCGUGGCCAUGACGUGGAACCUCAGCGCCCCCUGCUGGAUGCGUUAUAUCCAGGUCCUCAGCACUCAGCCUGCGGCCAAAAGAUGGGGCCCGUAAAGCACAGCGGGAGUUACGAAAGGUCUCCGUGGGCCAGGACCUGGCGUGGAAGUGUAGCUCUAAAGGAAGUCAUUCCUGUAAAAAUGUUAUGUGGCCAGCACUGUCAAACAAAUAGGAUUGAGUCACCAAGUGAUUUACUGACUGGAUUUGGAGGACUUCAUGGAAACCAGAGAAGAGCUGCAGGGAAGACCUCUGGAAGGGUGGCAUCCAGGAAGUUCUGGAAAUCUAGAAACCACACAGAAGUGCGAGAUCACAGGAUGCUCCUGUAAGAGAUGCAUAUCUGACUCUUUCCAGCGUUGUGUCAUUGUGUCACUCAGACCUUAGACUCUUUGAUAGGCUUAGUUUAACAUUUCCAUUUCACAGCCUUGGGUCAGUGGAGGAAAAGUUACUUCCCUCCAAGACAACUUCAUCAAGAAUGCUCACAACAAGGCAGGGCAGUUUUUCACAGGGAAGAGGAAUUGAAAAUAGGAAUAUGUAAAAAUAUCUGGUAUAUUUGAUGGAUUCCGGCAUUAAAUUCAGUAAGGUGAAGUUAUACAAGGCUUUGAAAUAAGGUACUUUAAAUUCAAAUGUUUAUGAUACACUAUUACUUUAAGACAACAUAAAUCAGAUAUUUUAAAAAUAUUCCUGAUUCUAAUUCUAAAUGUACAGUUGGUCAUAAAAUUGUAUUUGUACCCAAACAACAUAAAUAUCUUUUAUAAAAGCUAAUUUCUUUUUUUUAAAAUUUUGUUUUGUUUUGUUUUGGCUUUUUUGGGCUGCACCUGCGGCUUAUGGAAGUUCCCAGCUAGGGGUUGAAUCAGAGCUAAAGCUGCUGGCCUGCACCACAGCCACAGCAACGUGGAAUCCAAGCCUCAUCUGCGACCUACACCAAGGGUCACUGCAACGCCAGAUCCCUGACCCACUGAGCGAAGCCAGGGAUUCAACUCGCAUCCUCAUGGAUACUAGUCAGAUCUGUUUCCACUGCACCACAAGGGGAACUCCAGAAAACUAUUUUACAGCAUUGCUUAUAAUCUCUUUCUACAGCGGUAUGCUUCAAAUCCAGAAGGUUCUCCUCAGCUCUGCCAGAGACUGGUGAUUUUCUCUAUCACAUGUAACCUGUCCUACCACUAGUAGGACUUUUAAAAAGAAUGAACAUGUGGAAAGCACAUCUGUCCUCGGAGCUGCUUACAAAUGACUUAAUACAUGUUAAUUUCUCCCGCACAUGAAAGAUGAAUGACACCUGCCCCUGACUAUUUCUCUGACAUCUUUCCAUUUCAUCCACACACGCAAAAUGUUUACAUUCAGUUAUUUGCCAGUUUGCAUCAUACGGUGUAAAAUCCUUCAGAGAAAAGGUAUUUUAGUUCCCAUGAACAUAUAUCCAAGUAAACUACUAUCAAGCUAAUGUCCUCUGAUUGUGUUUCAUGAUAUGAAGUAAAAAAUCUUUCCAUUUACUUGCAUGUUUAACAAUUAAAUGUACUUUAAUUACAAAUAACCGGUUAUUAUCAGCUACAACAUUGCUAGGUAUUUGAUGCUUAUAUUCCUCUAGCUUUAUUCUUUAGUCUCAUAAAUAGAAGAUUUUAAAUAUUUUACUUAAAUUGUAUAUUCCACUGGUGAUGUGUCUAAAAUCUUUGCCAGUAAUUUUUACAAGAUUCUUGAUUUCACACAAUUUUACCAAGUACAGAACUCUGAUGAAUGAGUCAGUCUCUGUCUCAACUGCAUGUCAAACACCUUUCAUUGGAGUCUCAGAACUAAAGAGACAAUGUGAAGAAAAGUGGACAAGGGGAAACCAUUUAUACAUCUUGUUUACAUCUUGCCGUGAAAUAAUACUUGCUAAUUUAGCAUUAAAUAUUUUAAAAUAUCAUUAGAAACGUGACUUAGUUGAUUUAUCUUUUCUUCAGUACCUUGUAAAUACAGGUCAUCUUUCCAGAUUCUCUCCUCUGUUAGAGGCAAAUCUACAUUACUCAUACACACCUAGUUAUUUACAAAGAUCAAUGUAUAGACAAAAAUAAUGUGUCAGGUUAUGAAUGUAGCAUUCUAAAUCUAUUUCAAAAAAAGUGAAGGAAAAAUGUAGUUCAAAAUUUAAUAACUUCCUUUUUUUUUUUUUUUGUCUUUUUGCCUUUUCUAGGGCCACUCUGGCAUCAUAUGGAGGUUCCCAGGGGGGCCUAAUCAGAGCUGCAGCCUCCAGUGAUCAAUGUAUAGACAAAAAUAAUGUGUCAGGUUAUGAAUGUAGCAUUCUAAAUCUAUUUCAAAAAAAGUGAAGGAAAAAUGUAGUUCAAAAUUUAAUAACUUCCUUUUUUUUUUUUUUUGUCUUUUUGCCUUUUCUAGGGCCACUCUGGCAUCAUAUGGAGGUUCCCAGGGGGGCCUAAUCAGAGCUGCAGCCUCCAGUCUAGAGCCACAGCCAAAAUUUAAUAACUUCCUUUUUUUUUUUUUUUGUCUUUUUGCCUUUUCUAGGGCCACUCUGGCAUCAUAUGGAGGUUCCCAGGGGGGCCUAAUCAGAGCUGCAGCCUCCAGUCUACACCAGAGCCACAGCAAUGUGGGAUCUGAGCUGCAUCUGCAACCUACACCAUAGCUCAGGGCAACGCUGGAUCCUUAACCCACUGAGCAAGGCCUGGGAUCAAACCCACAACCUCAUAGUUCCUAGUUGGAUUCAUUAACCACGGAGCCACAAUGGGAACUCCCAAAAUCCAGUAACUUCUAAAGUAAGUAUUCAAUGCAAUAAGAUUAUCAUCAUAAAGUUUUUAAAAAGUGUUUAGACUUGUUUUUAACCCACCAAUUGUUUAAUUAUAUAAAGUCAACAUCAUAUGUUGUAAUUUAUUAAAAUCAUUUUAAUAUGGGGCUAAGCACAAAGAGCAUAUGCAUUUGGCUUUUUUAGUGAUCUGACUUUUAUCAAGAUUAUACUUUCCUAAAGUAGAGGAGAAACAUUUUCAUUUAACUGUUGUCUAUUCUGUUGAUGAUAUUGAAUAAGCAGUCAUCACAAGCAGGUCAGGUAGCCUUUUACUGGAUCUCUGACAUAUAUUUGUGCUAUUGGCUUUUCAGUCUUAGUUGUACUGUGUUUCAUGAGAAUUCAUACUAAAAGAAAGGGAUAAAUAUUACGGGAUUACUAUACACAAUUGGGUUUGAAGUUGAACCACAACAAUUCUAUAUGGUUCUAUAAAUGCUUCCACGUUGUAAAAGCAAGGGAGACUGUUUUUUUGUAAAUUAGUCUUCAUUAAAUUUUCAUUAAAUGUGCACAUGGUUAUAAUAUCAUAUAGUGUUCAAAUAAAUUUUUCAUUUUCAGUAUAAACAUUAAAAUAUGCUUCUCCUUCCUACCAAAUUAUAGAAUAUAGUUUAAGUUGCAUUUAUUUGAAGUUUACUUUUGUUUAAAAGGACCAUUUGAGCUACUGAAUUUUCAAGAUAAUGCAACAAUAAAAUAAUAAUAUGCAUAAUAUUUUUAUAAUAGAAAGGACUGCUUAUCCUGCUAAGUUUCAGGCAAAAUGAAGUGCACAAGUAGAAAUUCAGCAAGUGCUAACUCAUAGAAAUUGGGCAUCCAUGAUAAUAAUCAUGCAAUAGUGCUGAAAUAAAUUCAACUGAAAUAGAAACAAGUAUUUAAUUUUCUGACUUCUGAUAGAGGAAACUGAUUUAAUUUACUGAAAAUUUCAUGCUUGGUCCUGGACAAGCCCAUGUUUGAUUUUAUUUCCUUAUUUAUCCACAUUUACUAUAGUCCUACGCUCAUUUCCUUCCCUAUUAAGAGGGUUUUUUUUUUUAAUUUUAAAAUUUG
ensembl:lncRNA